rnacentral:rRNA from 1 species
CCAGACUCCUACGGGAGGCAGCAGUGGGGAAUAUUGCACAAUGGGGGAAACCCUGAUGCAGCAACGCCGCGUGAGUGAGGAAGUAUUUCGGUAUGUAAAGCUCUAUCAGCAGGGAAUAGAAAAGAAGGUACCUGAAAAAGAAGCCCCGGCUAACUACGUGCCAGCAGCCGCGGUAAUACGUAGGGGGCAAGCGUUGUCCGGAUUUACUGGGUGUAAAGGGCGUGCAGCCGGGAGUGCAAGUCAGAUGUGAAAUCCCGCGGCUCAACCGCGGAACUGCAUUUGAAACUGUGCUUCUUGAGUGCUGGAGAGGCAGACGGAAUUCCUAGUGUAGCGGUGAAAUGCGUAGAUAUACGGAGGAACACCAGUGGCGAAGGCGGAUUGCUGGACAGUAACUGACGCUGAGGCGCGAAAGCGUGGGGAGCAAACAGGAUUAGAUACCCGAGUAU